GGCACCAUGAAUUACGGGGGGACUCCUACGGGAGGCAGCAGCAAGGAAUAUUGGUCAAUGGGCGGAAGCCUGAACCAGCCAUGCCGCGUGCAGGAUGACUGCCCUAUGGGUUGUAAACUGCUUUUGUCCAGGAAUAAACCUUUCUACGGGUAGAGAGCUGAAUGUACUGGAAGAAUAAGGAUCGGCUAACUCCGUGCCAGCAGCCGCGGUAAAAU
rnacentral:rRNA from 1 species